rnacentral:misc_RNA from 1 species
UCAAACUUGGUCAUUUAGAGGAAGUAAAAGUCGUAACAAGGUUUCCGUAGGUGAACCUGCGGAAGGAUCAUUAAAGAGAAAACUGCCCUUUGGGUAGAUCUCCCACCCUUUGCUUACCUUACCUUUGUUGCUUUGGCAGGCCCGUCUUCUGACCACUGGCUUUUAGCUGGUCCGCGCCUGCCAGAGGACCCCCAACUCUUGAUUUCAAGUUGUCCGAGUCUUAUAUAAUAGUAAAAACUUUCAACAACGGAUCUCUAGGUUCUGGCAUCGAUGAAGAACGCAGC